UUUGUGUAAACUAUUUCAGUGUUGGUUCACAUAGUUUUCUCCUACUUUGCCAGAGAACUGAAAUAUUUCACUUUUUUUUCUUUUUUUUAAACUCUUGUAAAAAAUGUUUUUAAAGAUUUAUUUAUUUUAUGUAUAUGAGUACACUGUAGCUGUACAGAUGGUUGUGAGCCAUCAUGUGAUUGUUGGAAAUUGAAUUUUAGGACCUCUGCUCGCUCCAGUCAACCCCUCUCCAGCCCAAAGAUUUAUUUAUUAUUAUAAAUAAGUACACUGUAGCUUCAGACACCCAAGAAGAGGGCGUCAGAUUUCAUUACAGAUGUAAUGGGAUCCGAUGCCUUCUUCUGGUGUGUCUGAGGACAGCAACAGUGUGCUCAUAUACAUAAAAUUAAAUCUUUAAAAAAUAAUAAUAAAUGUAGAGAGGGACUCAUGUUAGUAUUGUUGGCAGUGAUGCUGUGGCUGUACAAGCAAGCACCCUGAUAGGAACUGCUUUUAUUGAGUGCUGACACAGUGCGCUUUAAUGUAGGGUCCAGAGUUGCCCAGUUGCUGGAUGCUCUCCUGUUAUUUCUAUUAUAGCAGGUUCUGGUGUGGCCUUAAGCAUGUGAGGGAGGUGGCAUUCUACCCUUGGGCUACACCUGGCCAAUGACCCAAACAUAUUUAACUUUAGG
ensembl:sense_intronic Gm44200 predicted gene, 44200